GGAAGAGGGCAGUUCUUAGGACUGUUAGGAAGAGAAAGGCAAGGCCUUGUCUUACCCUGGACUUUCACAGGGUAAAUUAAUUCUGAUUACACAAAGUAAUCAGAAUUAACCCAGCAAUGAGAGAUUUAAUCUAAAAGAGUAAGAUGCACACAUCCACCUGUGCGUUUGUGUACCCACACACUCUUUGGAGAGAAGAUACUUGAGGCUUGGCAGGUUAUAAGCAAGGCUGGAACCACAGGCUGUCUAAUUCUGCAGGAAAAGGAAACUCAACACAUCCACCUCUCCUUGCAACUUUUAGUAUUAAGUGCUGAUCUUUCUUCCAGCAUGUUAAUGGAUUCCAUGUAAACAUGAAACUCCAGAGCUGGGCUCGUUGCUCCCCAUAACUACAACCCCUUGAAAUACAGCACUAACUGCCUUUGAAGCAUUAGUGGGUUUGGGCCUAAGUCUCACGUGAAGACACAGUCCAGCAAGCUGGUAAGGCCAGUUUGGGCAAACAAGGAAGGAACAGAGUACUUUGGAUUCAAAGCAUGCAGGUAUAGCCCAACCACUAGCCAGGGCUACCAGAGAAACGCCAGCCAGCAGCCCCCUUCCAGCAGGCAGCACACCCACCCAGCAGCACCUUCCCCAGGGCUCCUUCCCCUCCUCAGAAGCCCUCGAACCGGACCAGGCCCUGCCGAGCUCACAAAGGGGCCCCUCCUGUGCCAGGGCCACAGCAGCCACUGCCAGUGCCAACACACAUCCUACCACCGGCCUCAGGGUUCACUCCAUCCUCUAGUGAACCUCGGAAGACAGAGGGAGUCCAGUCUGAAAAAACAGCUUUAUCAUAAAAAUACAACUCAGUUUGCUGAUAAAACCUGUAAAGGAGAAUGCUUCCCCCCCUACAGUCUUCAUGGACAAGUUCUGCAAGCAAGAAGAGCUGUGAUGAGGUGGUUUCUGACUUCUCCUCUGCAAGACAAAGUCAUCCUAGGAGGAACUGCACAUGAAUCCAUAAGAAAUGCACCACAGCCACAGGUUUGACAGGUAAUUCAUUACCUUUGGAGUUAUUUGGGAGUGUGGUGGCUACUCAAUUGCUCAGUGCAUUUUGAGGUGAUAAAACAUUUAUGCGGAUGUUACUGAUCAGCCCAGGAUUUAAUAUAUUUUUAUUUCGAAAAGGUAACAUACCAAAACAUUUCAAAUUAGGUCUUGAGUUAAAGGUAGUACAGGUUGUACUUUAUAUAUAAUGAUUUGUAAGAGAAAGAUGAUAACAAAGGCAAUCAUUUAAAAUCAGGUUUCAAGGGUUAGGGCUGGUUUUUGUAACGUUCCUCUGAG
rnacentral:lncRNA from 1 species